rnacentral:ncRNA from 1 species
GUGUAGGAUCAGGAACUUCGCUACUUAAAUUUCGCUCGCCAUCACAACUCAGCCUUCGCUAGUAAUCGCGGAGCUAGUAAUCGCGGAUCAGCAUGCCGCGGUGAAUACGUUCCCGGGCCUUGUACACACCGCCCGUCACACCACGAGAGUUUGUAACACCCGAAGUCGGUGGGGUAACCUUUAUGGAGCCAGCCGCCUAAGGUGGGACAGAUGAUUGGGGUGAAGUCGUAACAAGGUAGCCGUAUCGGAAGGUGCGGCUG